GCAAUAUAUGUUCUGCAAAGCGAUAUAUAACUCACUUUUUUCAUAGUAAUUGUUGUAUCUUUUAGAUUUGACAAAAAAUUGUUAACAAAGAUUCACUUUAUAAAUUGAUAGCCACAUUAAACUUGUAGACCCACAUUAAUUAUAAUAUUUGUAUAUUUGUAUAAAAAGUAGUAAACAAUGAGGCAAGUGUACAUGUCUUGAAUUACAUCAUGAUUUUUAAUCAUGACACAGCCUUGCAAAGUAGUUAAAAUACCAAAAUAUUUACACAUUUUAUCUUAUGAUUUACAAAUUUAUUUUUUAAUCAAUAUAGAAAGGCUUUAAACGAUGCCAAUCAUUUGAAGCAAUGGUACGGGAACGAUCGAUGAACCGAGUUUUUUUCGAUUUAAAAUUUAUUCAUAUUCAUCGUAGAAAAGUUUACCCUCUACGUUGGCAAAGCCUGUGAACAAUCAGACAUGAGUUAUGGCACUGUGGUGAUAGUAACGUGUAUAGUCGUGGUGGGAGCGUCCUGUGAUGAAACACGUGCAUCUUAUGUAUUUCAUUGCAGGGCCGGCUUUCUUCUGGCACUUUCGACUGGAAAAUAAUAACUAUAUUUUUGAUCGCUUAAUCCAAGUAUGAAAGUUGUAACGUGUUUUCAAACACAUAACAUUUUUAUUUAAAUUACACGGAACAGCAAGGCACGUUAUGGUUUUGAAAAAUAACAAGGAAAACUGUCAUUGGUGGUUACAUAAGAACUGAUCAAUAGACUGAUUUUGACGAAGAAUCAUGAAAAAAGAACUGGUAUGGAUUUGUAGUGAUUUGGCAGUGUUGUUGACAGUUUCUGGAAGACUACUUCAUGUGUUCAACAGGUAUCCUGUCGAUUUAUCAGAUCCUCAUAAGAAAUAUAAAUACAAUAUGUUACUGGAUACCUUUGGAUACAAUAAAAACAAGACAUUCAUCUUCAAAAAGAUUAUCAGGCUUGACAACAUUAGCUUCUGGCAAACGUAGUAUGGUAGAUGUUAUGUUUUGUUGAAUAGUAAAAUAAUAGCGGAUCAAUGGCAUAAAAAAAUAGUUUCAUCACUUUCACGUACGUUGGUACUUAAUUCUGGAAUCUUAUUCGAAACCAAAUACAGGAGAGGCAAUAUUAUCCAUGGUGAGCUUUCGGACUAAAAUGCCUCUCGUGUUUUCUAAAAAGUGUAGUAUUUUCUAGCUUGUAGUUAAUGUUAUAUUCAAAUUUCUAUUCAUAAAAACUUCUAAAGUCAUGUAAAUAAUUUCAAUUUUUCUAUAGUAUAUCACUGUUAUUCUUGGAUAACAAUAGCGUGUGUAAAUAAAGUUCCUUCAUUUAUUUUUCAUA